UACGGGGGGGGGUAAGCGUUGUUCGGAAUUACUGGGCGUAAAGGGCUCGUAGGCGGCCAACUAAGUCAUACGUGAAAUCCCUCAGCUUAACUGGGGAACUGCGUGUGAUACUGGAUGGCUUGGAUUUGGGAGAGGGAUGCGGAAUUCCAGGUGUAGCGGUGAAAUGCGUAGAUAUCUGGAGGAACACCGGUGGCGAAGGCGGCAUCCUGGACCAAUAUUGACGCUGAGGAGCGAAAGCUAGGGGAGCAAACGGGG
rnacentral:rRNA from 1 species